rnacentral:tmRNA from 1 species
GGGGAUGUACCGGUUUCGACGGGGUCGCCGAAGCUGGGAAAGCGGGUGGAGGAUUCUCGUUGGCCUCCUUAAAAAACGGGAAAUUGCAAGUAAUUGCAGACAACACAGAGCUCGUAGCAGCCUAAGGCUACCGUCCCCGUGUGUAUCUGCUCACAUGGGUGUACGUACACCGCAGACCUCACCUGAGAGAGGUUAAGCAGGCAGUCCUCCCGGCAAAGCUUUGCGCCGGAUCCGCGACUAUAAUCCCCCUAUGAAGCUACCGGAACCUUAGCCCGUCAGCGGGCUCAUGCGCAAGGGGAAUUUCUUAAACGCUGACUGCACCCGGAGAUUGUCCCGGCCGAGACGGUUUCGGACAGGAGUUCGAUUCUCCUCAUCUCCACCA